rnacentral:lncRNA from 1 species
AUGUUAGAUAUAAUAUCUUUGGGGGAAGUGCAAUUUAUUUUCAUUAUCCCACCAACAGAAGGAAAGUUGUCUCAGGUGAGAGUCAGUGAGUAUUUCAAGGAUCUCUCUUAGGCUAUAGUCUAAAGUAGGCUGGUUGGUUUCUUUGUUUAACAUCCAAAUGGAGAUUUUUUGUAACAAUUUAAGUGUUUAAUUUAAAAUGAAGUGUUUUGGGGUUUCUUUGUGUGUGUGUGUGAUAGUGCUUAUAUCCUGUGAGAGGAAAAAGUGUGAGAGAGAGGUGAGGGGGGAGUGUGUGUGUGUGUGAGUGAGAUGUGACUUGGUAAGUCUGUCUGUGUAUGUUUACUUUUUGAAUUGUAGUUCCAAACUACAUAUAUUACUGUCUCCUGGUGCUUCAGAUAAAUCCUUGAGCCUGUAGCCCUUCCGUUUCUACUACUGUGUUAAACUCGUGUUGAGUGGAAAUAUUGAUCUACUUGUAGUUUGUAGUCAGUUUUACUUGGUAUUUGCAUUUCUUUUCUUUAGUGGGAUUAAAAACAGUGUUUACCAACUAGCAGUUGGUAUGCUCUAAACAUUUGGCCUAAGAAAUUUGUAAAUUCAUUGUUGAGCUCAUUAUCUCAUGAUUUCGUUGCUGUCAGGAGCUGAUAGCUAAAAGGGAGCUCUUUGCAAACUGCGCCCGUGAGCAAAGACCAUGUGGGGCUGGCGGAUCCUGUUAGUACUGAAGUGUGCUGCUCUACUGCACUAUCACUUUGAUGGGGCGCUUUCUGCACUCCUGCUUCGGAAGUGCCAUUUUUAUAAUUAUACGGGGGGAGUUCCCCAGGCCAUGUCCAGGAAGUCCCUUCGUUCUGUUGACGUGGUCAGGAUAAGGGCUGCCUUUGCUGUGGCAUCUCAGUUCCUCACGGUAGUGCGUUAGGUUUUUAGAGAACUGUGUUAGCUGCCUGGGUCCAUUGGGGUUCCAUUUGGUGGCUUCCUACUUCAGUGUACCAAACCGGGGAUCCCACAGCAUUUUCUAAGGAACGCUAAAGACACUGCAGUAUUACCUUCCAGAAUGUCGGCUUUCUUGAUUCAAGAGGAGGCCUCCUGUGGUCAGAUGAAGACAGUUGAUUAUCUAGGGCAAGAAUGAGGUGGCGCUUUCACUGCAUCAAUUUAAAAGGUGCUGGAACCGCCUUAAAAAGCACCUGGUGGAAGGGCAGGGCAAGGCUGCUCUUGGCCAGGGGCUGCCCCUCGAGGUUGUGAGCCUUCGGGGAGGCAGCGAGAGAAGAGACUCUCUCUGCACAGAAGAGCCUGCCCUGGGUUUCAUCAACAAAUGUUCAUCAAGCGCUACUUAGGAUUCUGCUUGGAUUUGUGGGGAGCUCAGCAGCGAGGUGGAUGUAGUCCUGCCCUCCCUCUAGACUACAGACUCCUCGUGGGCACGGCUCUGUUUUACUCACCUGCUAAUGCCAGCGCUUGGCACACAGGAGGCAGUCAGGAAAUGUCUGACCAGUGAAUACAGGAUGCAUGUGAUCAGAGCGAUAUUCUGCAUGGGAUUGAAAAGCAGUCUCCUAGAGUGAGGCAUUUUGCUGGAUUUUAAAUGAAAAACUUUGUACACAGAUGGGCUGGCCUCCUAAUAGAGAGUGGGAAAUUAGUACAAAAUAAAAAAUGCCAAGUGCCUGCCAUGGAGGACACCCAGCCCCGUGGUCUCCGGAUGCUCUGUGGGAGUUUUGAGACCCUGCCCUCCGCACACCUAAUAACACUGAUCACAUUUAGUGUUGGAUUUAUUUAUUGCUCUUUAUAUGGGGCUCAGAGUCCUUUCCGGAAAGGACUGUUUUGAUCCUCACGUCUCUGUGCUGAGUGCAGUGCUCUCCGCUGGACCGAGCACGGGCUCUGAGGCCCAGGAGACACAGCUUCACUUCCCCCUGCAGAUGUGAGUGGAAGCCAAAAGCCGAAUCCGGGUCUUUGGAUUAUCAUUUCACUGUUCAGCCUGUUAGACUUUCACUUAAUUUUCUUAGACAUUCAGUAGUUGCAUUUAUGUGACACGUGAGGAGCUCAGCGAGGACCCUGUGUUCUUCGGUCUGGUGCACACAGUUUAGGAAAGUUUGUUCUUUUCAGCUCUGUUAUUGAAGUUCUCUAAGUGAUUGGAUUUUUAAGCUCCUUCCCUUUCUCGUGAAAUCAGAUAUCUAAUAAAUAAAGCACAUUGCAUAAUUAUCUAGUGAGAAAAGUCUGUUGCCUUCUCUUUUUUAUUUUGAGAUUAAAAACUAAACUGUUUAAAUUGCUACUCAACUGAAGUUUGAGCUCAUUAUCCUUUUUUAUAUUGAUGUCCUCAUGGCCCAACCAAGGUGUCGUAAAUCCUUAAAUCACUGUGGUUUGAAUUAGAGAAGGUGCGGUGGGAGAGAUGACUGCCCAGAGUCUGGGCACACGCUGCAGAGGAUGAAGUGGAGAAAGAUGAGCCGUUUCCUAGGAUCCAUGUAAAUAAAUGGCCGCUGCGAAGAAUUCACAUCCUUAGUACAUGUGGGUUCAUCUUGCUUUCUGGUUGGUGAAUUAUCUUUAUUAGAACUUUAUUUUUAGCAUUUCCAUACAAAUCGUAGGUUUUGAAGAACCUUAAUUGUCUUGUUCUUACUCAUCAGUUACACAUAAGGUGGACCUUAGAAGCUUGGGGUAAAUUUUCUCAAGUUGAACCAGUGAGCUUGGUUUGACUGUGACUCUGCGCAGCCCGCCUUGUCGUGUUUCCUGUUUAAUUGGAGGAGACUUACAUGCGCUUAUUCCCUUGUCCUUUGUGUUUAUAGGAAAAACUCUGUUCUCACUACCUCAUUAUGUCGUGUUGUGCUUGAUCCCCUGCCAGUUUAGAAGAAUUCAACACAUUCUGUCCUUUAACAAAAGCCUGGCAGCAAGCAGUAAGCGGCCUUGAGGAAUACAAUUCUCUGAGGCGUGUUUUCCAUUUUACUACUUUUUUUUUAAUAGGCACUUUUAAUCAGGAGGAACAAUAAUUCUCCUCGAGCUGCUGCGAAGUGAUUACUUGAAACUCAACUUGAACUUUAAAGAGUCUUUAAAAGGCUAUGUUUUCAUAAUGUAGGAAAGCAGUGCAUUUAAACACCUCUGCUGUGUAAAAUCGAGGGCUUGAUUUCCAUCCUUGUCAGGAUCAGACAGGAGAAUUUGUCCAUCAGUAAUCUGACCCAGUGUUUGGGAUUUAGACGCUUGGGGCUACUAUUUUUCAUUUUUUAUAAGGUGCUAUUGUGAGCAGUUUAAGGAUCUAGUAGGUGUAUUUUCAUGAAUGUUUCCCAGGAAUAUGACUAGAUUCCUCUUCUCUUCUAGUUCUGAUAACCUGGGUUUAAAAUGAAACCCUGAAGGUACUUCCUGAGGGCAGGGAGGAGGCUGACCGAACACACACAAGUGCAUCAGACUUAAACGCCUGAGUGGUCAGGUUCCCUCUGUGUGUCAGUGAGGCGUCCCCGACGCCCUCCUGGACGUGCCCUCUCUGCCCGGUGUGCCCGGCUCUGUCCUCCCAGCGUCUGUCCGCUGGCCUGGGAGCUGUGAGCCCCGCCACUUCUUGUAGACAGACCCUCCCUUCCGGGGGAGAUUUCUCAUAGGAAUUACCCAGCACCCCUGGUGCCCCCAAAGAGUCAUGCCCAAAAACCCUAGCAUCCUAGGAGUGACUUACGUACCAGGAAAAACCUAAAAACUUGACUGUCCUGACACAUUGACGAGAUUUCAUUUUUACGCUUGUGCUUUUUAGAGGAAAGGGCUUGCUCCUGACAGUAGAAUGCAGACUUUCUCCUCAGAUGACAGGAUGUCAGCAACGUGUGGAUCUGGCAGGAGGCCAAGAGACCUUUUUUUAAGUAAUUUCCAAGAGAACCAAGGUUUACCCCCUUAAAGCCCCAAACUUUCUUAUUUCCAUUCUUUUGAGGAAAACAUCUGUAAACAUUUUACGUACUUUCCCGAGCGAACCUAGUAGUUAGGAGCAUGUGUAGGCUGUGGUGCCAGGUGCCUGUGGUUUGAAGACUUCCACCGCAACUGCUUUGUGACCUUCUGUGACCUUCAGAAGCCCUUUAACUCUGCGGCUCGGUUUCUUACCUGGAGGAGGAAGGUAGCGGGCAUUUCCCUCUUAGGACUGCUGGGAGGACGCAGUGACAGAACCGAGGUGAGCCUUGGGAUGGCUGGGGCCUCGCACACAAAUGGUGGUGGGUACGACCGUAGCUGCUGUUGCCACUCAUCGCAGCUCUGGUCACAGACCAGGUCUGCUCCUGGCGGGCGGGGGCUACCCUUGAGAAUCCCUGGCCUGAUGCUUUCUUCACACUCAGGUCUGCCGCCGCGUGAUAGACAAGUGAUGUCUAUCUGUGUUGAUAAAGAGAGUUACUUUCUCGGCCCCUGCCACCACUCUUCUACUUCUCUAACGUUUCAUUCAAGAGGAUUCUGGAUAGCUGAAACAUCCCAAAAUAUGUAGUUAGAGUAUUUAGAGCUGUUGUGAAUAACCCCCAGUUCAUAAUUCACCUAAUGAAGUCCUCUAAUAAUUCUUAAAACUCUUUACCAAAGUUGAAUUUUUCUUUUUUCCCUCAAAUAGCAAAAGUAGCAGACUACACUGGUCAAAUGAACUGGAUAUUUUCUAGAUCUCUGUUUGAGAUCAGUAGACCUAAACUAUGCUUUCUUAAUUUGGAUGUUAUGAGAAACUUAAAAACAAGCAAACAAAGAUAGUUUGUGUUACAGGUACAUGUGUGUAUG